AGCUACAGCCAUAUCACCCUGCAGCCCAGGACUGGUUGUUUACUGAAGCUAAGCAGGGCUGAGACUGGUCAGUACCUGUAUUGGAGUCCACUUGGUAAAACUAGGUUGCUGUUGAAA
ensembl:rRNA 5S_rRNA 5S ribosomal RNA